GACGAACCGUGCGAACGUUGUUCGGAAUCACUGGGCUUAAAGGGCGCGUAGGCGGGUGUGCAAGUCUGUGGUGAAAGCCUCCAGCUUAACUGGAGAAGUGCCGUGGAUACUGCACAUCUUGAGGAGGGUAGGGGCAUCUGGAACGGUCGGUGGAGCGGUGAAAUGCGUUGAUAUCGACCGGAACUCCGGUGGCGAAGGCGAGGUGCUGGACCCUUUCUGACGCUGAGGCGCGAAAGCCAGGGGGAGCAAACGGG
rnacentral:rRNA from 1 species